rnacentral:rRNA from 1 species
GGUCUUGACCAUCCCCUCGACAACCCGAGAGAUCGGGCGGUUCCCCCUUCGGGGGGACAGGGUGACAGGUGGUGCAUGGUUGUCGUCAGCUCGUGUCGUGAGAUGUUGGGUUAAGUCCCGCAACGAGCGCAACCCUCGACCUUAGUUGCCAGCAUUCAGUUGGGCACUCUAAGGUGACUGCCGGCUAAAAGUCGGAGGAAGGUGGGGAUGACGUCAAAUCAUCAUGCCCCUUAUGACCUGGGCUACACACGUGCUACAAUGGGCGGUACAAAGGGUCGCGAACCCGCGAGGGGGAGCCAAUCCCAAAAAGCCGCUCUCAGUUCGGAUUGCAGGCUGCAACUCGCCUGCAUGAAGCCGGAAUCGCUAGUAAUCGCGGAUCAGCAUGCCGCGGUGAAUACGUUCCGGGCCUU